rnacentral:rRNA from 1 species
AGUGGCGAACGGGUGAGUAACACGUGAGCAACCUGCCCCUGACUCUGGGAUAAGCGCUGGAAACGGCGUCUAAUACUGGAUACGAGUAGCGAUCGCAUGGUCAGUUACUGGAAAGAUUUUUUGGUUGGGGAUGGGCUCGCGGCCUAUCAGCUUGUUGGUGAGGUAAUGGCUCACCAAGGCGUCGACGGGUAGCCGGCCUGAGAGGGUGACCGGCCACACUGGGACUGAGACACGGCCCAGACUCCUACGGGAGGCAGCAGUGGGGAAUAUUGCACAAUGGGCGGAAGCCUGAUGCAGCAACGCCGCGUGAGGGAUGACGGCCUUCGGGUUGUAAACCUCUUUUAGCAGGGAAGAAGCGAGAGUGACGGUACCUGCAGAAAAAGCGCCGGCUAACUACGUGCCAGCAGCCGCGGUAAUACGUAGGGCGCAAGCGUUAUCCGGAAUUAUUGGGCGUAAAGAGCUCGUAGGCGGUUUGUCGCGUCUGCUGUGAAAUCCCGAGGCUCAACCUCGGGCCUGCAGUGGGUACGGGCAGACUAGAGUGCGGUAGGGGAGAUUGGAAUUCCUGGUGUAGCGGUGGAAUGCGCAGAUAUCAGGAGGAACACCGAUGGCGAAGGCAGAUC